GACGAACGCUGGCGGCGUGCUUAACACAUGCCAGUCGAACGGAAAGGCCCUGCUUUUGUGGGGUGCUCGAGUGGCGAACGGGUGAGUAACACGUGAGUAACCUGCCCUUGACUUUGGGAUAACUUCAGGAAACUGGGGCUAAUACCGGAUAGGAGCUCCUGCUGCAUGGUGGGGGUUGGAAAGUUUCGGCGGUUGGGGAUGGACUCGCGGCUUAUCAGCUUGUUGGUGGGGUAGUGGCUUACCAAGGCUUUGACGGGUAGCCGGCCUGAGAGGGUGACCGGCCACAUUGGGACUGAGAUACGGCCCAGACUCCUACGGGAGGCAGCAGUGGGGAAUAUUGCACAAUGGGCGGAAGCCUGCUGCAGCAACGCCGCGUGCGGGAUGACGGCCUUCGGGUUGUAAACCGCUUUCGCCUGUGACGAAGCGUGAGUGACGGUAAUGGGUAAAGAAGCACCGGCUAACUACGUG
rnacentral:rRNA from 1 species